GAUGAACGCUAGCGGCAGGCCUAACACAUGCAAGUCGAGGGGUAGAGGAAGCUUGCUUCCUUGAGACCGGCGCACGGGUGCGUAACGCGUAUGCAAUCUACCUUUUACAGAGGGAUAGCCCAGAGAAAUUUGGAUUAAUACCUCAUAGUAUAUAUCAUUCGCAUGUUUGGUAUAUUAAAGUUCCAACGGUAAAAGAUGAGCAUGCGUCCCAUUAGUUAGUUGGUAAGGUAACGGCUUACCAAGACGAUGAUGGGUAGGGGUCCUGAGAGGGAGAGCCCCCACACGGGUACUGAGACACGGACCAGACUCCUACGGGAGGCAGCAGUGAGGAAUAUUGGUCAAUGGACGCAAGUCUGAACCAGCCAUGCCGCGUGCAGGAAGACGGUCCUAUGGAUUGUAAACUGCUUUUGUACGGGAAGAAACACUCCUACGUGUAGGAGCCUGACGGUACCGUAAGAAUAAGGAUCGGCUAACUCCGUGCCAGCCGCCGCAGUAAAAC
rnacentral:rRNA from 1 species